ensembl:snoRNA
CUGCACAUUUCAUUGACCUGCUUUCCCUCGUGUAUGUGAGCAGUGUUAUUUCUUAUGUGCUACACAGAUAGUUGAAGGUCAAUUAGCAGUAUAACUAUGUAGUCAUGCUGCCAGUCCCCUUCAGACAAAU